rnacentral:rRNA from 1 species
AUUGAACGCUGGCGGCAGGCCUAACACAUGCAAGUCGAGCGGAGUGGCGGACGGGCGAGUAAUGCCCAGGUAUCUGCCUGGCAGUGGGGGAUAACGUCCGGAAACGGGCGCUAAUCUCGUACACUAUCAGCUGAGCCUAGGUCGGAUGAGCUAGUUGGUGGGGUAAAGGCCUACCAAGGCAACGAUCCGUAACCGGUCUGAGAGGAUGAUCGGUCACACUGGAACUGAGACACGGUCCAGACUCCUACGGGAGGCAGCAGUGGGGAAUAUUGGACAAUGGGCGAAAGCCUGAUGCAGCCAUGCCGCGUGUGUGAGGAAGGUCUUCGGAUUGUAAAGCACGUUAAGUUGGGAGGCGUUACCAACAGAGUAAGCACCGGCUAACUUCGUGCCAGCCGCCGCGGUAAUUC